AUUGAACGCUGGCGGCAUGCCUUACACAUGCAAGUCGAACGGUAACAGGUCUUCGGAUGCUGACGAGUGGCGAACGGGUGAGUAAUACAUCGGAACGUGCCCAGACGUGGGGGAUAACGAGGCGAAAGCUUUGCUAAUACCGCAUACGAUCUAAGGAUGAAAGCAGGGGACCGCAAGGCCUUGCGCGUUUGGAGCGGCCGAUGGCAGAUUAGGUAGUUGGUGGGAUAAAAGCUUACCAAGCCGACGAUCUGUAGCUGGUCUGAGAGGACGACCAGCCACACUGGGACUGAGACACGGCCCAGACUCCUACGGGAGGCAGCAGUGGGGAAUUUUGGACAAUGGGUGAAAGCCUGAUCCAGCAAUGCCGCGUGCAGGAUGAAGGCCUUCGGGUUGUAAACUGCUUUUGUACGGAACGAAAAGGCUCUGGCUAAUACCUGGGGCACAUGACGGUACCGUAAGAAUAAGCCCCGGCAAACUUCGUGCCAGCAGCCGCCGUAA
rnacentral:rRNA from 1 species